GUCGACGGUGAAGCUCCAGCUUGCUGGAGUGGAUCAGUGGCGAACGGGUGAGUAACACGUGAGCAACCUGCCCCAAACUCUGGAAUAAGCACUGGAAACGGUGUCUAAUACUGGAUACGAGACCAACCUGCAUGGGUAUGGUUUGGAAAGUUUUUCGGUUUGGGAUGGGCUCGCGGCCUAUCAGCUUGUUGGUGAGGUAAUGGCUCACCAAGGCGACGACGGGUAGCCGGCCUGAGAGGGCGACCGGCCACACUGGGACUGAGACACGGCCCAGACUCCUACGGGAGGCAGCAGUGGGGAAUAUUGCACAAUGGGCGAAAGCCUGAUGCAGCGACGCCGCGUGAGGGAUGACGGCCUUCGGGUUGUAAACCUCUUUCAGCAGGGAAGAAGCGAAAGUGACGGUACCUGCAGAAGAAGCACCGGCUAACUACGUGCCAGCAGCCGCGGUAAUACGUAGGGUGCGAGCGUUGUCCGGAAUUAUUGGGCGUAAAGAGCUUGUAGGCGGUUUGUCGCGUCUGCUGUGAAAAUCCGGGGCUCAACCCCGGACUUGCAGUGGGUACGGGCAGACUAGAGUGUGGUAGGGGAGACUGGAAUUCCUGGUGUAGCGGUGAAAUGCGCAGAUAUCAGGAGGAACACCGAUGGCGAAGGCAGGUCUCUGGGCCACUACUGACGCUGAGAAGCGAAAGCAUGGGGAGCGAACAGGAUUAGAUACCCUGGUAGUCCAUGCCGUAAACGUUGGGAACUAGGUGUGGGUCUCAUUCCACGAGAUCCGUGCCGCAGCUAACGCAUUAAGUUCCCCGCCUGGGGAGUACGGCCGCAAGGCUAAAACUCAAAGGAAUUGACGGGGGCCCGCACAAGCGGCGGAGCAUGCGGAUUAAUUCGAUGCAACGCGAAGAACCUUACCAAGGCUUGACAUAUACCGGAAACUUCCAGAGAUGGUUGCCCCCUUUGGGUCGGUAUACAGGUGGUGCAUGGUUGUCGUCAGCUCGUGUCGUGAGAUGUUGGGUUAAGUCCCGCAACGAGCGCAACCCUCGUUCUAUGUUGCCAGCACGUAAUGGUGGGGACUCAUGGAAGACUGCCGGGGUCAACUCGGAGGAAGGGGGGGAUGACGUCAAAUCAUCAUGCCCCUUAUGUCUUGGGCUUCACGCAUGCUACAAUGGCCGGUACAAAGGGCUGCGAUACCGCAAGGUGGAGCGAAUCCCAAAAAACCG
rnacentral:rRNA from 1 species